GGAUUAGAUACCCUGGUAGUCCGCACCGUAAACGAUGAUUACUCGCUGCUGGGAGGUAACUUUCAGUGGCUUAGCGAAAGCGAUAAGUAAUCCACCUGGGGAGUACGCCGGCAACGGUGAAACUCAAAGGAAUUGACGGGGGCCCGCACAAGCGGAGGAGCAUGUGGUUUAAUUCGAUGAUACGCGAGGAACCUUACCAGGGCUUGAAAGUUAAGGAAUGAUUGUGAAAGCAGUCAGUCAGCAAUGACCUAAAACUAGGUGCUGCAUGGCUGUCGUCAGCUCGUGCCG
rnacentral:rRNA from 1 species